UCAACUUUGAUCUUUUUGCGUCUGCAG
rnacentral:piRNA from 1 species